GCGGGGCGGCGAGGCCGCGGUCGGCGAACGGGGAAGGCGAGAGGAGGCGCUUGGCGCUGCACCUGUCGUCGGCCGGUGGCAGGAAAGAGCCACGAAGGGCAUGGAGGAGCUCUGUGGAAAAUGGAAGCCUACGCAGCGGUCAAGUCAGCGCGGGGGGGUAGGGGACGCGUGGAAAGAGCCAUUCCACCUCAGCGGUGUGAGCCCGACCUGAGGCUUUUUUUUUUCCCUAGGAAAUAGCCAGUUGAAGGGAUGAUCUGAAAACAGUUUUCCGAGGAAACACUUAGUUAUUCAAGGUCGCUCCAACCAGUGAAAUCUAGACCUUUUAGGAGAGUGGUUUCAAAGACUAGAAAUACAGGAUCCCACGAUUUCAUAUUUAAAACAAGAUGCUUCAUUGCUGGGCACGGAGGCUGAGGCAGGACGAUCAUCAUGGGCCAGCCUGGACUACAGAGGUUUCACUCUAUAGCCUAUGCUGGCCUCAAAAUCACUAUAUAGAGCAGCCUGGCACGGAGCCUUUCAGCAGUUUUCCUGCCUCAGCCUUACAGGCAGCAGCAGCAGCCCCACCACCAGUUGGAUUAAGAAUGGCGAUGCGUGGGCUGGUGAGAUGGCUCAGCGGUUAAGAGUGCCGGCUGCUCUUCCAAAGGUCCUGAGUUCAAAUCCUAGCAACCACAUGGUGGCUCACAACCAUCCGUAACGAAAUCUGAUGCGCUCUUCUGGAGUGUCUGAAGACAGCUACAGUGUGCUUACAUAUAAUAAAUAAAAAAAUAAGAAUGGCGAUGCGUACGCCAGGCAUGGUGGUGCACGCCUUUAAUCCCAGCACUCAGGAGACAGAGGCAGGUGGAUUUCUGAGUUUGAGGCCAGCCUCGUCUACAAAGUGAGUUCCAGGACAGCCAGGACUAUACAGAGAAACCCUGUCUCAAAAAACCAAAAAAUAAAUAAAUAAAAUAAACAAAAAAAAAAAAACCAACAACAACAAAAAAACAA